UACAGAGGGUGCAAACGUUGUUCGGAAUUACUGGGCGUAAAGCGUGCGCAGGCGGUUUUGUAAGACCGAUGUGAAAUCCCCGGGCUUAACCUGGGAACUGCAUUGGUGACUGCAAGGCUAGAGUGUGUCAGAGGGAGGUGGAAUUCCGCGUGUAGCAGUGAAAUGCGUAGAGAUGCGGAGGAACACCGAUGGCGAAGGCAGCCUCCUGGGAUAACACUGACGCUCAUGCACGAAAGCGUGGGGAGCAAACAGG
rnacentral:rRNA from 1 species